AAACAGUUUACUCCUUUUUUCAGGAAUGUUCAGCCCAUUGAUAUUCAAGGAUAUUACAUUGACUUCAGCCAUUGUUAAUCAGGUGUGGAUACGUCAGUCCAGCUUUCUUUAUCGGGCAGUUCCGGGAUAGCAGGAGCCAAUAACUUACAGAUUCGCUGUCGGACUCAUCAGCGGGACUUCUAGCACGCCGUGGCGCCAUCUUGGAUCCCUGACGACACUGUUCAGAGUCUGUCGAUGUGAAGAACUGUUUCAAUAAGCGCUGUGAGUCUUUCGCUUUAACGCUCCUGCAUUCCUCACCAUCAUAUUCUUUAGUUUUACCAUGUUUGCCCAUGAUUCCAAUCCACAGCAGGCGUG